rnacentral:rRNA from 1 species
AUGAAAUCGAUGAAAUCGUCGAACCGGUUAAUGUGCCUUAAGCGCUAAUAAGAUAAAGGACUACGAGCGUUACAUAUCACCAGUUUAUCCUAAUAAAAGAAGCGCUCUGGAAAAUGAAAAAAAAUAGUACACCCUCAAUCUUAAUUAAGGACAAAUGAAUGAAAAUAGGUACACCCCCCCCCCUUCUCCGCAGAUAUAAGUCGAUGUUUCAAAUAAAACAUAUGACGUCCGCCAAGGUAAAAAAAGAAUUAGCCUCAAGACCCAUACCCGAAUAUACCAAGGUUGCUUGGUCCUAAUCUAAACCUUUCUAAUUAAUUAGUUAGUAUGGGACGUUGGAACCUUUAUGAAAAUAUAAAACCGAAGGAAUAACGAAUACGACAGUUUAACGGCUAAUAUGGGGAUGUAUGCACCAAUGGUCUAUGGGUACCCCUUCGUGUAAUAUCAUGUACAUACGAAAAUCGCCCUUAUAAUAAUUUCUACCCUCGUAUACCUAACUAAGCCUAGUUGUACCUUAACAAUGGAGUACGAGUAAUAGAUAAAAGCGGGACCAAUCAUUAUUAUCCUCGCUAGGUUUAUUAGAU